rnacentral:rRNA from 1 species
UGACGGGCCGCACAAGCGGUGGAGCAUGUGGUUAAUUCGACGCAACGCGAAGAACCUUACCAGGGCUUGACAUCCCCUGACCGCGUAUGAAAGUACGUUUUCACCCUCGGGUGACAGGGAGACAGGUGGUGCAUGGUUGUCGUCAGCUCGUGUCGUGAGAUGUUGGGUUAAGUCCCGCAACGAGCGCAACCCCUACGUUUAGUUGCUAACGCGUGAAGGCGAGCACUCUAGACGAACUGCCGUUGACAAAACGGAGGAAGGUGGGAUGACGUCAAAUCAUCAUGCCCCUUAUGUUCUGGGCUACACACGUGCUACAAUGGCCGGUACAGACGGAGGCGAAGCCGCGAGGCGGAGCAAAUCCGAAAAAGCCGGUCUCAGUUCGGAUUGCAGGCUGCAAUUCGCCUGCAUGAAGUCGGAAUCGCUAGUAAUCGCAGGUCAGCAUACUGCGGUGAAUACGUUCCCGGGCCUU